GUAGAUUUAGAGUAGAUAAAAGGGCUGGCUGUAACCAGCUUGGAUAUGAGAGCCUUCAGCUUCCCUCAGCCCUGAAUGAGGACAGGGCUUGAUGUACCAGGUUCCUCCAGCCCAUGGUGGCUCAGAGCACUCUCCUCUCUGACCAGGCACUUUGGAGCUCUUUGGAGCCUCUCUGUCUCUUUGUGACUAAUGGGUCUUGCCCAGGAGUUGGAAUUGCACUGAAAAGCUGAUUCACUUUGAACAAAGGUGUCGAUCUUGCCCUGUGGGUAUCCAGCACACAAGUUGUGGGUGUGGAUUUCUCCUGCAUACCAGUCACUGCUGUUACAGAGCUGGACAUUGAUGAGCUGGACCUUGGCCUCCUGAAGCUGAUCAGCUGAAUCUUGAGCUGUGAGCAGAGAAAGAAAUAAACUCUGAGC